rnacentral:rRNA from 1 species
CAAGGAGUCUAACAUGUAUGCGAGUCAUUGGGAAUGUAAACCCAAAGGCAUAAUGAAAGUAAAGAAUUCGAUUGCGAAUUUGAGGAGAGAUCAUGGAUUUAUUUGAUAUUUCGUAAGAUUUAUUAAAUAAAUUAUGCGCAUCUCCUGGACGUCUAUACCUCUGAAGGUUGGGCGUACCAAGAGCAUACACGUUGGGACCCGAAAGAUGGUGAACUAUGCCUGGUCAGAAUGAAGUCAGGGGAAACUCUGAUGGAGGUUCGUAGCGAUUCUGACGUGCAAAUCGAUCGUCGGAACUGGGUAUAG